UAAGUAAAUGAUUUUGUUUAUAAUAAGCUUACAAUAAUACUCAGAUCUAUAUAGAAUCCAUUCAUUGGUAUGAGAUUAGUUCAUGUUACGAGUAAAAACAGAUUAAGUUGGAUAUCAAACCGGAGUCAAAUCAACCUUUCAAGAAAUGGGCAAAAAUUCUGAAUCUCAUUGAAAACUUUUACAUUUUACCUUUUACAGGGGCUAUUUUCCACAAGAAAAUUGAUUGUGUUUUUAAUAUGACUUAUGAUUUUUUUUUUCUCAUAAGAUUUUUAGCCGCAGAC
rnacentral:lncRNA from 1 species